GUGGAGGCCAGGCUCCUCGGACCCUGCGGGCGCUGGUUGGUCAGCAGGGCUCGUACCCAGCCGAGCUCCCUGGGGAGUUGGCCUGCUCUCCGACCUCUCCUGAGUGGCCAGGAUCUAGAUCUGCUGAAAGAUGUAAUUUGAUAAGGGAGUAGGGGCUCCAUGUUGGCUUUUGUUUCCAGCAGCUACUUCUGGAGGGUCCCGCAUCUCAAAGGUCUCAGAUGCCUCUGCUCCCAUAUUCGCCUCUGUUCCUGCAUUCAGUGACUCGGCUUUGCUGGGACCACGGGAUACCGUGGACCUGGAGGAUGCCAGCCCCCAGCUUCUGCCUUCUGGACCCUCACCUGAAAAUUUCCAGCAAAUUAUCCUGAAACUAUGGGUUCCAUCCAUGCAGAAAUGGUGCCCCGUCUACUGUUAGGUCCCCAGCACUUAGUAUCGUACCUGGAAUGGUCAUCUGUCCAAUAAAGAA